rnacentral:rRNA from 1 species
GGCCUAAUACAUGCAAGUCGAACGGCAGCACAGUGUAGCAAUACACCGGUGGCGAGUGGCGCACGGGUGCGUAACACGUAUGUAAUUUGCCCAUAACUGGGGAAUAGCCCUCCGAAAGGAGGAUUAAUACCCCAUGACCCAGCGAAGUGGCAUCACUUUUCUGGUAAAUCUCCGGAGGUUAUGGAUGAGCAUGCGUCCGAUUAGCUAGUUGGUGAGGUAACGGCUCACCAAGGCAACGAUCGGUAGGGGGUCUGAGAGGAUGAUCCCCCACACGGGUACUGAGACACGGACCCGACUCCUACGGGAGGCAGCAGUAAGGAAUAUUGGACAAUGGAGGCAACUCUGAUCCAGCCAUGCCGCGUGAAGGAUGAAGGCGCUACGCGUUGUAGACUUC